UGGGGGAAUAUUGGGCAAUGGACGCAAGUCUGACCCAGCAACGCCGCGUGAAGGAAGAAGGCUUUUCGGGUUGUAAACUUCUUUUAAGAGGGAACAGCAGAAGAGGGUACCUCUUGAAUAAGCCACGGCUAACUACGUGCCAGCAGCCGCGGUAAUACGUAGGUGGCAAGCGUUGUCCGGAUUUACUGGGUGUAAAGGGCGUGUAGCCGGGAGGGCAAGUCAGAUGUGAAAUCCACGGGCUUAACUCGUGAACUGCAUUUGAAACUGUUCUUCUUGAGUAUCGGAGAGGCAAUUGGAAUUCCUAGUGUAGCGGUGAAAUGCGUAGAUAUUAGGAGGAACACCAGUGGCGAAGGCGGAUUGCUGGACGACAACUGACGGUGAGGCGC
rnacentral:rRNA from 1 species